UGAGGAAUAUUGGUCAAUGGGCGUGAGCCUGAACCAGCCAAGUCGCGUGAGGGAAGACUGCCUUAUGGGUUGUAAACCUCUUUUGUCGGGGAGCAAAGCUGCCACGUGUGGCGGUUUGAGAGUACCCGAAGAAAAAGCAUCGGCUAACUCCGUGCCAGCAGCCGCGGUAAUACGGAGGAUGCGAGCGUUAUCCGGAUUUAUUGGGUUUAAAGGGUGCGUAGGCGGACGAUCAAGUCAGCGGUCAAAUGUCGGGGCUUAACCCCGGCCUGCCGUUGAAACUGGUUGUCUUGAGUGAGCGAGAGGUAUGCGGAAUGCGUGGUGUAGCGGUGAAAUGCAUAGAUAUCACGCAGAACCCCGAUUGCGAAGGCAGCAUACCGGUGCUCAACUGACGCUGAUGCACGAAAGCGUGGGGAUCAAACAGGAUUAGAUACCC
rnacentral:rRNA from 1 species